rnacentral:rRNA from 1 species
AGCGAACGCUGGCGGCAGGCUUAACACAUGCAAGUCGAGCGGGCGUAGCAAUACGUCAGCGGCAGACGGGUGAGUAACGCGUGGGAACGUACCUUUUGGUUCGGAACAACCCAGGGAAACUUGGGCUAAUACCGGAUAAGCCCUUACGGGGAAAGAUUUAUCGCCAAAAGAUCGGCCCGCGUCUGAUUAGCUUGUUGGUGAGGUAACGGCUCACCAAGGCGACGAUCAGUAGCUGGUCUGAGAGGAUGAUCAGCCACAUU